UAGAGGGUGAGGACUCCCGGACAUGAGGCGUCAUCGUCGGGCCGCCGAUUCAUUUGGAGGGGGUGGAUUGUGGCCUGUGGGAUUAGGUCUCUUUCCCCGUACCGCUGACGUCACCUAAUAGGGGUUGGACAGGUGGGCGGUUGCGAUAAGGCAGGUGUAAAGGCACCCGGGAUUCUCAUGCCGGUAAGGCACACGGGGUCCUCAUGCCGGUAGCAGCAGGGUCUAGAGGUGUGGGUCGCAGCGCAAGUGAUCGUUGAGUGCUCGCCGACGGUGACACUGUCUGUGCGAGUGACGAACCUGGGUCUGCGUUCAGCGAUCCCGAUGGGAGAAGGAACAAGACGCUACCGGCAAUCCGAGUGUCGGCUGCUGUUCUCGUGUUUGGGGUGAAUGAGAUACGUGUGCAGGUGCUGCUUCUAGGACGCGUUUUGUAUUUCUGUUCGUUUGGUUGUUUGCUUCAUGUGUUCUUUUUUGUUUCUUUCUUUCCCCCUAGUCGGUGGACUUGUUUUUGUUGUAUGUACUAAUGGGCGUCCUAUUGUAUUGACGACCUACAGCGACUAACUUUUAAUUAAAUGUGAAUAAAGAAUAUAUUUUUAUACCUGUAAGUCAAGCCUGUGCGUGCGUUUCUAGGGUAAAAUAGAGUGCCC